rnacentral:rRNA from 1 species
AACGAACGCUGGCGGCAGGCUUAACACAUGCAAGUCGAGCGCGUAGCAAUACGAGCGGCAGACGGGUGAGUAACGCGUGGGAAUCUACCCAACCCUACGGGAAUAAACGCAUGGAAACGUGUGCUAAUACCGUAUACGCCCUUAGGGGGAAGAUUUAUCGGGGAUGGAUGAGCCCGCGUUGGAUUAGCUAGUUGGUGGGGUAAAGCCUACCAAGGCGACGAUCCAUAGCUGGUCUGAGAGGAUGAUCAGCCACAUUGGACUGAGACACGGACCAGACUCCUACGGGAGGCAGCAGU